UUGCGUUGGGAUGACUUCUGGCUGCUUACUUAGUUGCUGACAUACAUAUGUAAAUUUAUUAUGUACAUACAGCUAAUUUCGUACACCAAUAUGUGUUUUAUUUAUUUAAUUGGCAGGUUUUGUCUUCAGCUUUGUAAUAAUUUGUAUGUAAUUUUGUGUAGCUUAUGUUGUUAUAUUUGUUGGCUCUUUUUUUUUUUUAGGACUUUGGUUGUUUUAGUUUCAGGUUUGCGGCAGAUUUGGUAAGUGUUUUAAAUUGUAUUUUGGCUGAAUUUAAUUUUGUUUUAUUUACAGGUUUGGUAAUAGAGUGUCAUCAAUCAAGUUAGGUUUAAAGAAAAUUGGUGUGAAAAAGAAAAAGUGAUUUCAAUUGUUUUUACGCCAAUUGUAAUUUUAUUUUAUCUGCAGUUUUAUUUUUUGCUGGUUUGGUGGUAAGGUGUCACAUACAAUGGCUGUUGCGCUUGUUGUCUACAACUUGUUUGCGUAUUUACUGACAUUGAUUGUUAUGUAAAUAGUUAUUUUGUACGUAUGUAUGUAUGUAUGUAUGUAUGAUAGAUUU